GAUGAAGAACGUAGCGAAAUGCGAUAAGUAGUGUGAAUUGCAGAAUUCAGUGAAUCAUCGAAUCUUUGAACGCACAUUGCGCCUCCUGGUAUUCCGGGAGGCAUGCCUGUUCGAGCGUCAUUAAAAUCACUCAAGCUUAGGUUUACCUAUUGCUUGGUCUUGGAGAUGGAAGCCAAUUCAUUGGAAUCCUCUUCGAAAUCCAAUGGCGAAGACCCUUGCUCUCCCAAGUGUAGUAAUAACUUAUGUCACUGAAGGAAGCGAGAAAUCUUCCGCCGUAACCCCCAUAUUUUCUAUGAUUGACCUCGGAUCAGGUAGGGAUACCCGCUGAACUUAAGCAUAUCAAUAACGGAGGA
rnacentral:misc_RNA from 1 species